AAUUCUGGAAAUUUUAUUCAAUACUCUCAAAAACUGAAUGUAACAUGCGGCUUGAGGCUAUUAAUAGCCGUGACUAAGACCUAAUAAACUGGAAAAAUAACAAGGAAAGUUCGGCCAGCCCCUUGGGCCUUCACUUGACCGAAAGCUAGCCCAACUAACUAUAGAUCAUAAGCUUCGGUGGCGUUGCCCCCGAACCCCCACCGGGGGCUUCGCUGCGCCCCCGGGCCCCCAAGCCAGGGGCGCGUCGCCCCCUUGGACCCCCGACUCGCUGAUCGGACAGCGAGACCCCCGUACGGCUCAGCGAGGGUACUUAACUGCGGCUAAGCCCGCCGUUUGGAGCUUGAACAUUUGCAUCUUCAAUUGUAAGCAGCAUUUUAGUAGUCGUGCAAGGAUAUUCCAACUCAAUUCCUUCAAUGACCGGUUUCUCUUGGGUUUGGACUGCACGUACCAAGGCUUGAAGGGACUCCUUGAAUCUCUUGGCUCGUGCUCGUGUCACUGGGCCUUGGGGCACCUUCACAGGGUCUACUUGUACACUUUGGGCCUCGUGCUCAACCGCAUCAUUCCCCUCCUCUUGAAAAGGAUUUGCCCUCAAAUCAUACUCGUCCCCUGCAAUAAAUGGACUUAGAUCAGCAACAUUGAAUGUAGCACUAACAGUAUACUCACCAGGCAGAUCUAAGCGGUAUGCGUUGUCGUUGAUGCGCUCAAUAACUUGAAAAGGCCCAUCUCCUCGUGGUGACAGCUUGCUUUGCCGUUGUUUUGGAAACCUCUCCUUGCGCAAAUGUAACUAGACCCAAUCACCUGGUUCAAAGACAAGCUUGCGCCUGUGCUUAUUAGCUUGUUGGACAUAGGCUGGUUUGUUAGGCAAUGGUGCUCCAGGAAUGAGAUCGAUUUGGUGCUCGAUUCCCCUUAGCGGUGGUAGUCCAUCAGGUACAUCCUCAGGAAAUAUGUCCUCAAAUUCAUCUUUGGCUUUUGCUAGCAAGCUUAGCUUCCCCUUAUUUUCUUCUCUCAUAGCCGACCCACUUGUUGCCUUUUUCUUCCCUAGGGGUUCGGCCCUACUCUCUCCUUUUUCUUCCUCACUUUUCUCUCGCUUUUUCCUCUCAAGUUCUAGUUCAUACUCCUUUUGGAGCCUCAUUUGAUCUUCAUACACUUGUUUUGGGGUGAGAGGUACAAGUGUCACCGUUCUAUUGCAAUGAGUAAAGACAUAUUUAUUAGCUCUUCCCUUGAAUUCGGCAUCGCGAUCAUAUUGCCAAGGCCGUCCAAGAAUGAGGUGACUUGCUUGCAUUGGCACGACAUCACAAGUAACCUCGUCUUCAUACUUGCCAAUUCGGAAUGGCACUUUUACUUGUCUAAACACACGGACUUCCCCUUCAUUGUUCAACCAUUGAAGGCGAUAAGGUCUUGGAUGUUUGAUAACUUGGAGCCCUAGCAUUUCUACCAUGAGUAGACUAGCGACAUUGGCACAACUCCCACUAUCAAUAACAACACUACACACCAUAUCCUUGAUAUGACACCUUGUGUAGAAAAGGUUGUCCCGUUGUACCUCCAUUUCCUCCUCUUUGGCGCGGGUAGUGAGGACCUUUCGAACCACUAGGCAUCCAAUCUCCUCAUGCGUAGGUAUCUCCUCACUCAUUCUCUUCCUCUUCUAGAGGCGGUAUCCCCUCGUACUCCUCUUCCUCAUCUGAUACAAUUUCCCCAUUUGGCAACAUCAGCAUGGUCCUUUGGCUGGGGCAUUGAGAAGCGAUAUGGCCAAAUCCUUGACACUUAAAGCACUUGGUGUCUCGACCACGCGGUUUGGUAGCUGCAUUAUUAGCCUCAAAGUCAGGCUUGGGCGUUGCCUUGGAAGGGAGGCCAUUCGGCCUUGGAGGGUAAGAAGGAGCUGCGGCUUUCUCCUCCCUUUUUGGUUGAGAAGUGCGCCAAUUUCCAGCUUGAUAAGUAGUGCUUUGUCGCGCAGUACCCCUCCUCUUGAGGCGCCGUUCAAUUGUAACCGCCUUCUCGAGCAUUUCAUUCAUGUCGAGGUAGUGUUGGAGUUCCACUACUUCGGCAAUCUCGGGCCUCAAUCCAUGUAGAAAACGAGCCAUAGUGGCCUCUCCAUCUUCACGUAAAUCCGCCUUCAUGAUGGCCAUUUCCAUCUCCUUGUAAUAAUCCUCAACUGACAUGGACCCUUGGUUGAGAGCUUGUAGCCGACGGUGUAGAUCUCGACUAUAGUAGCUCGGAACGAACCUUUUUCUCAUCAGACUCCUCAUUUCCUCCCAAGUUUCCAAAGGUCUCUCACGAUUUCUCCUUCGGCUUAGUCUAAGUUGGUCCCACCAAAUGGAGGCGUAGUCAGUGAAUUCUACGGCUGCUAGUUUCACCUUUUGCUCCUCCGUAUAGGUGUGGCAUUCAUAGACUAACUCAAUUUUCCGUUCCCAUUCCAAGUACGCCUCGGGGUCCGACUUGCCUUGGAAUGAGGGAAUCUUGAGUUUGACACCUUUAAUGGUGUCGUCUCCUCGACGUUGGAACCUUUGAUCAUUUUGGUACCUUCCCUCAAACGCUUCCUCUUCAUCGUUUGAGUAUGCCGAUUCUUUGCCCUUACUCGGGGUAGGUGGAGGCCUCGAGUUCUCCAACUGAUCAAUUCGAUCAUGCAAUGGUUCAAUUUCAUUCUUAAGCAAUCGUUUGAACUCCCCCAUCAUGGCUUCCAACUGUAGUUUGAUGUCCAUGGUUUGGCUACCCACUCCACUAGACAUAUUUAGUUCACCUGCAAAACAAAUAAACAAAAAUGAUUUCCUCUCUCUUUUUUUUUUUUUAAUACGAUGUAUAGGUCACUUACACUCGUGUUUCACUCAAGUGUAUCACUCUCUAAUAAUCUUACCAAGCAAUUCCUUGGCUUGCUAGUUGCUCGAGUUGAACAAACGAGGCGUCACCGUAGUGUACGUUCUUGACUAGUCAACAAGUGACACACAAGCUAGUAGCAAUAAAUGGAGGUGAAUGACUGAAGACCUAGACACGACUCAAGACUCAGAAUAUAGCUGGACAAUAACUAACGACUCGAAAGAAAGUAAGACAAUUAACUUGAAUGCUGAAAUUUUUAAAAUCCUAGAAAACUCUACCCGAAACCCAAAUUUCUGGAAUGUGUUGAGCUGCUGGUCCGUGGUCUUUUUGGUCCGUGAUCUGAUUUGGACACUUGGGGUUGCCAAGAUUAGAAACCUUGGAGUUUGGUCAGAUUUGGGAGUCCCAAGUGGUCCAAAUUCGAAAUUUUGGGGCUGGUCAGAUUUGGAAGUCAGAUUUUGCACCAAAUUUGGUAAACUUGUAGGCUGUCAAGAAUUGGAUGUUGUUCAGAUUUGGAAGUCCAAGUUUGAAUCAGAUUUGGUGGCUUGAAGGCUGACCAAGACUAGGGCUGUUCAGAUUUGAAAGUCCAAGUUUGAAUCAGAUUUGGUAAAACUUGAAGGCUGGUCAAGAAUUGGAAACUAGAGCCGACUUUCUUGAAAAAAUUUUUUUUUGACCUUUGAAUCAGAUUUGGUAAAACUUGAAGGCUGGUCAAGAAUUGGAAACUAGAGCCGUCUUUCUUGAAUUUUUUUUUGACUUCUGUUGGGGUGUUUUCACACAAUAGCCAGCUAGUUUAGACCACAAUUUCACAGCAAUUAACGUAAACAACUUGGACAGAUUUGGUUUCAGGAUCAAAGUUCCAUGAAAACAAGAACACGGUUGAAGGUUUAUUUCAGGUUUCAAGACUGCGAAGAUUAACCUCUUUGAUCCAAGAAGCUCAAGACUUCCCCAAUAAGGUUUUGAUGUUCGAGUUUUACAAAGCAACAACACAAAGGUUCAAGAAACAAGUGCAAACAGAUUCAGCAUCCCAGCAAAUUAAUUCCAGCAACGACUCAAGGGAAUGACAAUAAGGUAUACAACACAAGAGAUUUUUUUUUUUUUUUGGAUUUAAACAGAACAUAAACACAAGACAAAACUGGACAGAAAAUUUCAGACAACAAGUAAACAACAAAGACAGAUUUCUGACAAGGAAACAACAAAGACAGAUUUCUGACAAGGAAACAACAAAGACAGAUUUCGGACUUGACAAACCCGAGCACCUGAGCUACGAAUUUAGAAGACUAAAAUAGAUCUAAAAACGAUAAAAAGGGAUAUUCGUGAUACCUCUAACUAGCUCUGAUGCCAGCUGAUGCGAGACGCGGAAGCUACUUCGGAUCUAGAGGAACACGAUGAAGAUUUGAUGGAGUUGAACCCGAACUUGGACCACUCAAGAACAGAUUUAACGGUAGAGGACGCCACAAUCAAGUAUGUGUGCUUGAUUGAUAAGUCAAGAACAGCCUAGGAUCGACUCUAGGAUGUUCAACUUAGCUUUCACAAGCUAAGGGAAUUUGCCACAAAGAAUGGACGAAAUUCUGGAAAUUUUAUUCAAUACUCUCAAAAACUGAAUGUAACAUGCGGCUUGAGGCUAUUAAUAGCCGUAACUAAGACCUAAUAAACUGGAAAAAUAACAAGGAAAGUUCGGCCAGCCCCUUGCCCCUAUACUUGACCGAAAGCUAGCCCAACUAACUAUAGAUCAUAAGCUUCGGGGGCGUUGCCCCCGAACCCCCACCGGGGGCUUCGCUGCGCCCCCGGGCCCCCAAGCCAGGGGCGCGUCGCCCCCUUGGACCCCCGACUCGCUGACUGGACAGCGAGAUCCCCGUACGGCUCAGCGAGGGUACUUAACUGCGGCUCAGCCCGCCGUUUGGAGCUUGAACACUCGCAUCUUCAAUUGUAAGCAGCAUUUUAGUAGUCGUGCAAGGAUAUUCCAACUCAAUUCCUUCAAUGCCCGGUUUCUCUUGGGUUUGGAUGGCACGUACCAAGGCUUGGAGGGACUCCUUGAAUCUCUUAGCUCGUGCUCGUUUCACUGGGCCUUGGGGCACCUUCACAGGGUCUACUUGUACACUUUGGGCCUCGUGCUCAACCGCAUCAC
rnacentral:lncRNA from 1 species